GACGAACGCUGGCGGCGUGCUUAACACAUGCAAGUCGAACGGAAAGGCCCUGCUUUUGUGGGGUGCUCGAGUGGCGAACGGGUGAGUAACACGUGAGUAACCUGCCCUUGACUUUGGGAUAACUUCAGGAAACUGGGGCUAAUACCGGAUAGGAGCUCCUGCUGCAUGGUGGGGGUUGGAAAGUUUCGGCGGUUGGGGAUGGACUCGCGGCUUAUCAGCUUGUUGGUGGGGUAGUGGCUUACCAAGGCUUUGACGGGUAGCCGGCCUGAGAGGGUGACCGGCCACAUUGGGACUGAGAUACGGCGCAGACUGCUACGGGAGGCAGCAGUGGGGAAUAUUGCACAAUGGGCGGAAGCGUGAUGAAGCAACGCUGCGUGCGUGAUGACGGUCUUCGGGUUGUAAACCGCUUUCGCCUGUGACGAAGCGUGAGUGACGGUAAUGGGUAAAGAAGCACCGGCUAACUACGUG
rnacentral:rRNA from 1 species